rnacentral:lncRNA from 1 species
CUGGUCGUUAAACUAGCCACCACCUGGUCAUUAAACUAGCCACCACCUGGUCAUUAAACUAGCCACCACCUGGUCAUUAAACUAAACCACCUGGUCAUUAAACUAGCCACCACCUGGUCAUUAAACUAGCCACCACCUGGUCAUUAAACUAAACCACCUGGUCAUUAAACUAGCCACCACCUGGUCAUUAAACUAAACCACCUGGUCAUUAAACUAGCCACCACCUGGUCGUUAAACUAGCCACCACCUGGUCAUUAAACUAGCCACCACCUGGUCGUUAAACUAGCCACCAUCUGGUCAUUAAACUAGCCACCACCUGGUCAUUAAACUAGCCACCACCUGGUCAUUAAACUAGCCACCACCUGGUCAUUAAACUAAACCACCUGGUCAUUAAACUAGCCACCACCUGGUCAUUAAACUAGCCACCACCUGGUCAUUAAACUAAACCACCUGGUCAUUAAACUAGCCACCACCUGGUCAUUAAACUAGCCACCACCUGGUCAUUAAACUAGCCACCACCUGGUCAUUAAACUAGCCACUACCUGGUCAUUAAACUAAACCACCUGGUCAUUAAACUAAACCCCCUGGUCAUUAAACUAGCCACCACCUGGUCAUUAAACUAGCCACCACCUGGUCAUUAAACUAGCCACUACCUGGUCAUUAAACUAAACCACCUGGUCAUUAAACUAGCCACCACCUGGUCAUUAAACUAGCCACCACCUGGUCAUUAAACUAGCCACCACCUGGUCAUUAAACUAGCCACCACCUGGUCAUUAAACUAGCCACCACCUGGUCAUUAAACUAAACCACCUGGUCAUUAAACUAGCCACCACCUGGUCAUUAAACUAGCCACCACCUGGUCAUUAAACUAGCCACCACCUGGUCGUUAAACUAGCCACCACCUGGUCAUUAAACUAAACCACCUGGUCAUUAAACUAGCCACCACCUGGUCAUUAAACUAGCCACCACCUGGUCAUUAAACUAAACCACCUGGUCAUUAAACUAAACCACCUGGUCAUUAAACUAAACCACCUGGUCAUUAAACUAGCCACCACCUGGUCAUUAAACUAAACCACCUGGUCAUUAAACUAAACCACCUGGUCGGGACCAGGUACAUACAGGCCAGGUUAGGACCAGGUACAUACAGGUCAGGACCAGGUACAUACAGGUCAGGUCAGGACCAGGUACGUACAGGUCAGGACCAGGUACAUACAGGUCAGGUUAGGACCAGGUACAUACAGGUCAGGACCAGGUACAUACAGGUCAGGUUAGGACCAGGUACAUACAGGUCAGGACCAGGUACAUACAGGUCAGGACCAGGUACAUACAGGUCAGGACCAGGUACAUACAGGUCAGGUCAGGACCAGGUACAAACAGGUGAGGACCAGGUACAUACAGGUCAGGACCAGGUACAAACAGGUCAGGACCAGGUACAAACAGGUCAGGUCAGGACCAGGUACAAACAGGUCAGGACCAGGUACAUACAGGUCAGGUCAGGACCAGGUACAUACAGGUCAGGACCAGGUACAUACAGGUCAGGACCAGGUACAAACAGGUCAGGACCAGGUACAUACAGGUCAGGACCAGGUACAUACAGGUCAGUACCAGGUACAUACAGGUCAGGUUAGGACCAGGUACAUACAGGUCAGGACCAGGUACAUACAGGUCAGGACCAGGUACAAACAGGUCAGGACCAGGUACAAACAGGUCAGGACCAGGUACAUACAGGUCAGGACCAGGUACAAACAGGUCAGGACCAGGUACAUACAGGUCAGGACCAGGUACAUACAGGUCAGGACCAGGUACAUACAGGUUAGGACCAGGUACAUACAGGUCAGGUUAGGACCAGGUACAUACAGGUCAGGACCAGGUACAUACAGGUCAGGACCAGGUACAAACAGGUCAGGACCAGGUACAUACAGGUCAGGACCAGGUACAUACAGGUCAGGACCAGGUACAUACAGGUCAGGACCAGGUACAUACAGGUCAGGACCAGGUACAUACAGGUCAGGACCAGGUACAUACAGGUCAGGUCAGGACCAGGUACAUACAGGUCAGGACCAGGUACAUACAGGUCAGGUCAGGACCAGGUACGUACAGGUCAGGACCAGGUACAUACAGGUCAGGUUAGGACCAGGUACAUACAGGUCAGGUCAGGACCAGGUACAUACAGGUCAGGACCAGGUACAGGUAGUGCUAAACAGAUGGAACCAUUCUCCAGACCGGCUGUAUGUUGACGUCAUGGAGAUAGCAUAGAGAUACGUUAACGUUUAUGAUUGACAGAUGAAACAGACUGAGGUGGUUGUGCAGGUCAGGUCCUGAUGAGCAGAUAGAAACCACAUCUCAGCAGACUGUAUAGGGCCACUCAGGGUCUAUCCAGGGUGACCAUGACACAUUUAGGCCCAGUUCCCUCCUUUGACUAUGUUUUUUAAAAUUUUAUUAGUCUAGGACAAUGUUUAAUCAGUGUCCAGGAAACUGGCCUUUUUUUGUUUGUUUUAGGUGUGACCAAUGGCAAUAACAUUUAACACUUAUUGAGGAUGUCCAUGUUGACUCAAUACACUAGGAGUUAAUAUAAUAAAUAGUAAUUCAUAUAAAUAAUUAAUAAAAAUAGGUCUGGUCAACCAUUUAUGAUGUUUUGUUUUGAGGAAGAAUUAGGACUCUUUUUACCUGUUGUCUUUCGUCAAUCUCUGAUUGUACAUUUGAGUGUAAAUAAAUCAAACACACACAGCAGAAAGCAUGUUUUCCGUCUUUACUCUUCCUUUCCCUUCCUUUCCCUUCCUUCCUUCCUUCCUUCCUUCCUUCCUUCCUUCCUUCCUUCCUUCCUUCCUUCCUUCCUUCCUUCCUUCCUUCCUUCCUUCCUUCCUUCCUUCCUUCCUUCCUUCCUUCCUUCCUUCCUUCCUUCCUUCCUUCCACUCUCUCUUUCUCUUCUCUCCUUACCUUUUUUUUGUAAUGGUCAUCUGUAACCAGUAGCAUAGAAGCAUAGAAGCGCUAGAAACAAACGAGGAAUGGAAUAAUACACAUGUACUGUCUGUAAAAAAACAUAUGUCUUUCUUGGCACUUUCCCCUGGGAUAUGAAGCUAAUAAACACUAUUAUAAAAGAA